UACGUAGGUGGCAAGCGUUGUCCGGAUUUACUGGGUGUAAAGGGCGUGUAGCCGAGCUGACAAGUCAGAUGUGAAAUCCGGGGGCUCAACCCCCGAACUGCAUUUGAAACUGUUGGUCUUGAGUAUCGGAGAGGCAGGCGGAAUUCCUAGUGUAGCGGUGAAAUGCGUAGAUAUUAGGAGGAACACCAGUGGCGAAGGCGGCCUGCUGGACGACAACUGACGGUGAGGCGCGAAAGCGUGGGGAGCAAACAGG
rnacentral:rRNA from 1 species